UGGUCUGGAGAGUCUCAUUUCAAGAACACAAGUUUCAACGAUGUUGUCAAGUUCACAAGUCCACCAAAACCACCUGAUUCACCAGCGACAUCAAUCUUGGAUCAUCCUCAUGUACCGCUGCCAACCCUGAGUCCAUUGUCUAUAGAUUCAUCUCAGCCACCACCAUUAAAAUGUUCAAGUAUAGUCUCAUCUUUAUCACCACCACCGAAAACACCAUUGAAAGUUCCAGAUAUUGUCUCACGUCAGCGACCACCGUUGAAACCAUCGUAUGAACUUUUACCGUCCAUUCCAAAACAGGAGAUGAUUCACUCUCAUUCUUACAAGUCAUUUUCACAAUAUUAUGAAAUCUUAGAUCUUGAAUCUUCAAUCACUCUCAUAGUCGAGCCUUGA